AUAGAUUUUCUUUCUACAAACACAGUUCGAACUCCUACAACUGUACCAUAUACAGUAACUGAAAUCCUCUUUAUACUGUAACAUUUGAUAUUUAGCAUUCAUAUCUUGUAGUCUGAAGUUUUUAUGAUCUCCAGGAGACUGGUACUAUACCAAGCUUCUAUAGUUCUAUUUACAUUAUUCUUGUACCAAGUUACUGUUAUUACAAUUUGCACCUCCAAAUUUAGGAUUACCUUUUUCUUCCCCAGCUGGGAGUUGGUGCAGUAGCUACU
rnacentral:lncRNA from 1 species